CCAGGAUGCUGUAUUUGAGCCAGAGAGAAGGCUGAAGCAGAAAGGCAUUCCUGAUCCAAAGGAUGGCUCAAGAUUAACUAUCUUCAGUGCUUCUUUCUUCAAGAGCAGUCACCAAGGAGCUUCCUGAACUCUUCUCAGCAGGCCAGAUGGCCCUCAAGAGGACUGCGCAUCUCAGGACCGUGAGUGACUUCUGACUCUACUGUAGAAGCUGUAGACAUUCUGGUCCCCCAAGUCAUGCUGGGGACGGUGUUCAUGUGUAGGUGUGGUCCAGACCUGAGAUGCCUCUACCAAGCCACACACUGGAGCAGAAGACGAAAUGGGUCCUAAGGAUCCCUCAGUUCCGGAGGAAAACCCUCUAGAAGAGGGAUGCAAAGGAAGGAAGUAGAAUACUGGGCACAGAAGUGUGAGCACUUGAGUGUUUCUCUCAAGUCUCUGAGAAUCCCUAAGGAAGUGCCAGCAUCUGGAUCCUUAAAGCAGAAAGAUAACCUGGAAUCCUGGACAGCUGUGUGCAUUUAUACAGAUGGUUGGACACCUCCCAGCAGCUUCCUCGUGUUCUCUGAUGCUCAUCGCUGGAUUUUGCAUGCUGCCUGCAGUGGGGGUGUCCUACAUGCUUGGUCUUCCAGCCUUUGUUUUGCUUAGAGUAGUUUAAGCCCCAGCCUUUAGCUUCCACAGCUUGAGAGGUCACAACACAAAGGCUUCU
ensembl:lncRNA